UCUAUGAAAACCCGCCUGAUACCCUAGCUUGUUUGGGCACGAAACUCAUCUUCCUUUGACAUUUGCUCAUCUUCUCCAUUCCAUCGAAGAAUGAAAUGGAUCUCUUUUCCCGUCAAAACGCAGCCCAAGGUUGGCGUCAGAGCCUCCCAUCUAGCCUUCUGUAUGUUCUACCUCUAAAACAGAAAAAAAUCUAUUAGAUAUAAAACGGCGUACGACGGAGCGAUAGGCACACUUCCAGGGAAGGAGCACUGGUUGAUACUUAGUGAUGGCGAGAUUGUAGGUAAACCAAUUUCAUGUAGGCCUCGAGGUAAACUGAAGAAAAGAAGAAUUAAAAACUUCUUAGAAACUACAAAGAAGACUAAAAUGAGCUAUAAGUGUGGAUGUUGCAAUUCUUGCGGACACCAUAGAAGCACUUGUAAGAACCCUUUAAAUGCUGAUAGAGAAGGAAAUGAUCAUGACUUUCAUAUGCCAUAACUUCUGCUCCACGUGAAAAAAUGCCAAUUAGGCAUGCUGGUCGUCUAGCCGGUUGUUGCUAAUCUUUAAUUGUUUUAAGCUUACAACAAACAGAAUUUUGUGCCAUUUAAUUAAGCAACUAUUUAGUAUCAAGAAUUUUGUAACCAUUUAGUAAUGCAACUACUUUGUAUCCA